rnacentral:rRNA from 1 species
ACGAACGCUGGCGGCGUGCUUAACACCUGCAAGUCGAACGGAAAGGCCUGCUUUCCCUUGUGGAUUGCUGGUACUCGAGUGGCGAACGGGUGAGUAACACGUGAGUGAUCUGCCCCCAACUUGGGUAUAAGCCUGGGAAACUGGGUCUAAUUCCCGAUAGGACUGCAGGGUGGUGCCUGUGGUGGAAAACGAUUUUCUAGUGGUUGGGGAUGAGCUCGCGGCCUAUCAGCUUGUUGGUGGGGUAAUGGCCUACCAAGGCGGCGACGGGUAGCCGGCCUGAGAGGGUGGACGGCCACAUUGGGACUGAGAUACGGCCCAGACUCCUACGGGAGGCAGCAGUGGGGAAUAUUGCACAAUGAGCGGAAGCCUGAUGCAGCGACGCCGCGUGGGGGAUGACGGCCUUCGGGUUGUAAACUCCUUUCGACCGCGAGGAAGCCACCUGGUUGGAAGGGUGGUGACGGUAGUGGUAGAAGAAGCACCGGCUAACUACGUG